rnacentral:rRNA from 1 species
UACGGAGGAUGCAAGCGUUAUCCGGAAUUAUUGGGCGUAAAGCGUCCGUAGGUGGUUGAGUAAGUCAGUUGUUAAAGCGUGGAGCUUAACUCCAUAACGGCAAUUGAAACUACUCGGCUAGAGUGCGAUAGGGGCAAGGGGAAUUCCCAGUGUAGCGGUGAAAUGCGUAGAUAUUGGGAAGAACACCGGUGGCGAAAGCGCCUUGCUGGGUCUGCACUGACACUGAG